CAGCCGCCGCGGGAAAACGGAGGGUGCAAGCGUUAAUCGGAAUUACUGGGCGUAAAGCGUGCGUAGGCGGCUCCGCAAGUCGGAUGUGAAAUCCCUCGGCUUAACCAAGGAAGUGCAUCCGAAACUGCAGAGCUUGAGUACUUAAGAGGAUCGCGGAAUUCCCGGUGUAGAGGUGAAAUUCGUAGAUAUCGGGAGGAACACCAGUGGCGAAGGCGGCGAUCUGGGAAGAUACUGACGCUGAGGUGCGAAAGCGUGGGGAGCAAACAGGAUUAGAUACCCGCGUAGUCCCUGUCUCUUAUAC
rnacentral:rRNA from 1 species